CUCCCAGGAGGCCCUGUUCCCCCAACUCACGGAGGAGGAAGUGGAGGAAGCAGAGGCCCAGAGAGGCUGCAUGAGGACCCCGAGCACCCCCCACCAACAGGGCCCGUCACUCUAGCCCAUUGCACCAAGCCCAGGGCCACAGAGGGACAAGGGACGACAGGGACCCGCCCGAGGGCCGCUCAGGGCAGAGUAGGGGCCGGGACCCAGCCCUCCUGACAUCAGAGCCUUGGGUUCCCUGUCCCCCCCCCAUCGCAUGUGCUCGCUGGCAAAGCCGGGUGCUGGGGUGGCCCACGCGGAGAGGCUCAGGCGGCUGGGGGUGGGGGGUGAUGGGCAGGACUCGCCCACUUCUUUGAAGGAAAUCUGCAGGCAGCCGUUCCUAGAAGGAAGGGCCUCGCCCGGUGUUUACCUGCUCGGCCACUGUCCCGGCAGGUCCUGCCACGUGUCCACUUGUGAGGAUGGAGGGAGUGGCCAGGUGGCCUCGGGCAGGUCCCGCCAGCCCCACAGGAGGUGGAGCAGGAGGCCUGGACCUCAACACCCCCCCCAGCAGGCAGGGCUCCUUCUGCCCGUCUGUGCCUCAGUGUCCCCAUCUGGCUAAUGGGCACAGCCAUGCUUCUUUCCCGGAGUUGUGCAGAUCAAAGGAAGCCCAGCGUGGGGCUGGCAGGGCUGUUUCAAGGAGUCUGGACUGCAUCCCGGGGGCUAUGGGAAGCCCGGCGGGGAGGGUGGUUGGGGGAUAAACUAUAAUUAAUAGGACUAAUUUUAAAAUAGGUACUGAUAAACUCAAAAGAAAGAAAAGGAAAUCCCAGGGCCCAGGAACAAACUGAACAUGACGCAAGCCAGGCCCUCUGUCUGCCCAUCGGGCACCAGGGUCGUGGCCUUGGAACAGAAAGCGUGGACGGUGAGAGGAGCAGCCGGAGGCAGACCCCGAAGAAAUCCCGCUCCAGGAAAGGGGGCUUCACUGCCCACGGGCCUGGGGACGCAGCCAAGGGACAGGAAGGGACAGGAAGGCGGCUCUGCAGAGAAACAAAAUCUAAGCAGGCCCGUCCCAUCCCGAGACCGGCACACGCACCGCAUCUGCCCACAGCAGGACCCUCACCUGGGGCUCUCACCCUGCAGCCCUCACCUGGGGCUCUCACCCUGUAGGACCCUCACCCGGGGUCUCAGCCGGAGUGUCCAGCUCCUCUGCCAUCUGCCACGGGAUGUCAGUCUGAAACCACAGGUAUUCCUGCCGCCGCUGCCCCCCUUUCCCUGCCUACUCCCCCAAAUCCCGGGAAACCCGCAUUUCUCCCAAAUGCCUUGUGGGAGCGUGGGGUGUGUUUGCAGGCAUCAACGGAAGGGCUGAGUCUUCCCUCCUGGCUCCAGGGGAUGAG